AGCAACAUGCUAGACGGGUCUAUGAAAUUCUUCGACUGCUAGUAACUGACAUGAGUGAUGCUGAACAAUACAGAAGCUAUAGACUGGAUAUUAAAAAGAGACUAAUUAGCCCAUAUAAGAAAAAGCAAAGAGAUCUUGCUAAAAUGAGAAAAUGUCUCAGACCAGAAGAACUGACAAAUCAGAUGAAUCAGAUAGAAAUAAACAUGCAACAUGAACAGCUGGAAGAAAGUUUUCAGGAACUAGUAGAAGAUUACAGACGUGUUAUUGAAAGGCUCGCUCAAGAAUAAAGAUUAUACUACUUUGUACGGGAAGCUUGCAAAUUUCUAUACAUCGUGCUGUGAAAAACUCAAUGAUUUUAAUUUUAAAAUCUUGUGACAUUUUACUUACAUUAAAAGUUAUCUUUAGUUGAAUAUUUUCUUUUGGAGAGAUUGUAUAUUUUAAAAUACUGUCUAGAGUUUAUGAGCAUAUAUUACAUUAAAUAUAUAGCUUCUGAAAUGCCACCACAAUUGCUUUUCUUUUUAAACAGUGUAAUAAAUGCUUAGUUG